AGAGUAACAGUACGUGAAACCGCAUAGAGGUAAACGGGUGGCGUCAAGCUGCACGCUUGGAGAAUUCAGUCGGUCAGGAUGUUGUGUAUGCGCCUGGCGCAUCUAUCAGUCAGAGUGAGAUAAAGUGGUCCGUUGGGUAACAGCGGGCCCGGCCGAAAGGCUGGGAUUUGUAUUCCGUGUUGUGUGCGGAGCUUGCCACUUGUCUAAGGACUGCCUGGCCGAUGCAUUUUCUCUGUGGCGAACACCACGACCGGUGGAACUGCCAGUCUGCUGUGGUAAAGCCAGGUUCAGUCGGCAUCUCUGGUGUUGGUUGGGCUUGGUCAUAGGCAAGCGGUGUGUGGGUGCGUUUACGUGCUCGUGCACCGCUUUGUCAACGGGUCUGUUUGCUGACGAUUGUAGUAGUUGGCGAAUGGCCUGGUGGACCAUGGUGGUAAGAAUAACUGUGCAGGGCACCGGUGAUUUCGGUCUCUAAUUUGGCUCGCGUGCACUCUACAGUGUUUGUGGGGCGUUGUUGCAGUCUGCCUAUGAUUGGGUUCGAUUGUCGUGUUGCCUGCGCAAAGUAGGUCCGGCAGUAGCCUGAUUUUGGAUGGUAUUGCUAGCUGCGUCUCCGAUGCGGGCUGAUGAGGGCCUAAUAGUCAGUGGUGUAGUGGUAGACGAGCUACCCGACCCGUCUUGAAACACGGACCAAG
rnacentral:rRNA from 1 species